rnacentral:rRNA from 1 species
CCUACGGGCGGCAGCAGUGAGGAAUAUUGGUCAAUGGACGCAAGUCUGAACCAGCCAUGCCGCGUGAAGGAAGACGGCUCUAUGGGUUGUAAACUGCUUUUGUAAAGGAGUAAACGGAGAUACGUGUAUCUGUUUGAAAGUAUCUGACGAAUAAGGAUCGGCUAACUCCGUGCCAGCAGCCGCGGUAAUACGGAGGAUUCAAGCGUUAUCCGGAUUUAUUGGGUUUAAAGGGUGCGUAGGCGGUCGGAUAAGUUAGAGGUGAAAGCCUGCGGCUCAACUUGGGAAUUGCCUUUGAUACUGUCCGGCUAGAGAGUAGUUGCGGUAGGCGGAAUGCAUGGUGUAGCGGUGAAAUGCUUAGAGAUCAUACAGAACACCGAUUGCGAAGGCAGCUUACCAAGCUACUUCUGACGUUGAGGCACGAAAGCGUGGGGAGCAAACAGGAUUAGAUACCCCUGUAGUC